GGGCCCGCACAAGCGGUGGAGCAUGUGGUUUAAUUCGAUGCAACGCGAAGAACCUUACCAGGGCUUGACAUACUACAGAUUCUUUAGAGAUAGAGAAGUGCCUUCGGGAAUGUAGAUACAGGUGGUGCAUGGCUGUCGUCAGCUCGUGUCGUGAGAUGUUGGGUUAAGUCCCGCAACGAGCGCAACCCUCGUCCUAUGUUGCCAGCACGUAAUGGUGGGAACUCAUGGGAUACUGCCGGGGUCAACUCGGAGGAAGGUGGGGAUGACGUCAAAUCAUCAUGCCCCUUAUGUCUUGGGCUUCACGCAUGCUACAAUGGCCGGUACAGAGGGCUGCAAUACCGCAAGGUGGAGCGAAUCCCAAAAAGCCGGUCUCAGUUCGGAUUGAGGUCUGCAACUCGACCUCAUG
rnacentral:rRNA from 1 species